GAUGAACGCUGGCGGCGUGCCUAACACAUGCAAGUCGAGCGAACAGACCAGAAGCUUGUUUUUCUGAUGUUAGCGGCGGGCGGAAGAGUAACGAGCGUAUACCCUACAUAUAAGACUGGGAUAAAUUCGGCAACCCGGAGCUCAUACCGGAUGAUAUUUUGAACCGAAUGGUUCAGAAGUGAAAGACGGUCUUGCUGUCACUUAUAGAUGGAUACGCGCUUCCUUAGCUAGUUGGUAAGGUAACGUCUUACCAAGGCAACGAUGCAUAGCCGACCAGAGAGAGGAAUAGGAGACGGUCGAAGGGGAAGACGGUCCAGACUGCUACGGGAGGCAGCAGUAGGGAAUCAUGCGAGAUGGGAGAAAGCAUGACGGAGCAACGCGGGGUGGGUUAUGAAGGUCUUCGGAUCGUAAAACUCUGGUAUUAGGGAAGAACAUAUGUGUAAGUAGCUGAACACGUCUUGACGGUACCUAGUCAGAAAGCCACGGCUAACUACGUG
rnacentral:rRNA from 1 species